GUGCUUGCUUUGGCAACAUAUAUACUGAAACUGGAAUGAGACAGAGAAGAUAAGCAUAGCUUCUGGGCAAAGAUACUACACAAAUUCCUGAAGUAUUCCAUAUAACU